UACGGAGGGGGGCUAGCGUUGUUCGGAAUCACUGGGCGUAAAGCGCACGUAGGUCGGAGUUGUUAAGUCAGGGGUGAAAUCCUGGAGCUCAACUCCAGAACUGCCUUUGAUACUGGCGAUCUUGGAGUCCGGGAGAGGUGAGUGGAACUGCGAGUGUAGAGGUGAAAUUCGUAGAUAUUCGCAAGAACACCAGUGGCGAAGGCGGCUCACUGGCCCGGUACUGACGCUGAGGUGCGAAAGCGUGGGGAGCAAACAGG
rnacentral:rRNA from 1 species